rnacentral:rRNA from 1 species
GAUGAACGCUGGCGGCGUGCCUAAUACAUGCAAGUCGAGCGAACAGACGAGGAGCUUGCUCCUCUGACGUUAGCCGCGGACGGGUGAGUAACACGUGGAUACCCUACCUAUCAGACUGGGAUAACUUCGGGAAACCGGCGCUAAUACCGGAUAAUAUAUUGCACCGCAUGGUUCAAUGGUGAGAGACGGCUUUGCUGUCACUUAUAGAUGCAUACGGGCUGUAUUAGCUAGUUGGUACGGUAACGGCUUACCAAGGCGACGAUGCGUAGCCGACCGGAGAGGGUGAUCGGCCACACGGGAACGGAGACACGGUCCAGACUCCUACGGGAGGCAGCAGUAGGGAAUCGUCCGCAAUGGGCGAAAGCCUGACGGAGCAACGCCGCGUGAGUGAUGAAGGUCUUCGGAGCGUAAAACUCGGUUACUAGGGAAGAACAAAUGUGUAAGGAGCUAUGCACGGCUUGACGGUACCUAAUCAGAAAGCCACGGCUAACUACGUG